rnacentral:rRNA from 1 species
GAUGAACGCUGGCGGCGUGCCUAAUACAUGCAAGUCGAACGAAACUUCUUUAUCACCGAGUGCUUGCACUCACCGAUAAAGAGUUGAGUGGCGAACGGGUGAGUAACACGUGGGCAACCUGCCCAAAAGAGGGGGAUAACACUUGGAAACAGGUGCUAAUACCGCAUAACCAUAGUUACCGCAUGGUAACUAUGUAAAAGGUGGCUAUGCUACCGCUUUUGGAUGGGCCCGCGGUGCAUUAGCUAGUUGGUGGGGUAAAGGCUUACCAAGGCAAUGAUGCGUAGCCGAACUGAGAGGUUGAUCGGCCACAUCGGGACUGAGACACGGCCCGAACUCCUACGGGAGGCAGCAGUAGGGAAUCUUCCACAAUGGGCGAAAGCCUGAUGGAGCAACGCCGCGUGGGUGAAGAAGGUCUUCGGAUCGUAAAACCCUGUUGUUAGAGAAGAAAGUGCGUGAGAGUAACUGUUCACGUUUCGACGGUAUCUAACCAGAAAGCCACGGCUAACUACGUGCCAGCAGCCGCGGUAAUACGUAGGUGGCAAGCGUUAUCCGGAUUUAUUGGGCGUAAAGGGAACGCAGGCGGUCUUUUAAGUCUGAUGUGAAAGCCUUCGGCUUAACCGGAGUAGUGCAUUGGAAACUGGGAGACUUGAGUGCAGAAGAGGAGAGUGGAACUCCAUGUGUAGCGGUGAAAUGCGUAGAUAUAUGGAAGAACACCAGUGGCGAAAGCGGCUCUCUGGUCUGUAACUGACGCUGAGGUUCGAAAGCGUGGGUAGCAAACAGG